GUCGGGGGAGCUCAAUCGGUAGAGCGGGAGACUCAUAAGCUCCAGGUAGUGGGAUCGUAACCCACCCCCGACACAA
rnacentral:tRNA from 1 species